AUUGAACGCUGGCGGCAGGACUAACACAUGCAAGUCGAGCGGAGAGGCGGACGGGUGAGUAAAACGUGGGAACAUAACCAUCAGAGGGGGAUAACAAUUGGAAAAAGGUGCUAAUACCCACAUCAGAUGGAUGGCCCCGCUGUGCAUUAGCUAGUGGGGGAGGUAACGGCUAACCAGGGCCACGAUGCAUAGCCGACCUGAGAGGGGGUGCGGCCACACGGGAACUGAGACACGGCCCAGACUCCUACGGUAGGCAGCAGUGGGGAAUAUUGGACAAUGGGCGAAAGCCUGACCCAGCCAUGCCGCGUGUGUGAAGAAGGUCUUCGGAUUGUAAAGCACUUUAAGUUGAGAGGCGUUACCAACAGAGUAAGCACCGGCUAACUUCGUGCCAGCAGCCGCGGUAAUUC
rnacentral:rRNA from 1 species